rfam:Geobacter uraniireducens Rf4, complete genome.
AAAUUGUCGGCUCUCCGAGCCGCCGUACCCACCAGGGCAACCCUCUCACGGUGCGCGGCCAACGGGUGCUGCCGGAAACGGCUGCGCCUUCCUUUUGAAAAGGAGAACACCCUCCGUCAGA